rnacentral:rRNA from 1 species
ACAGCAGCCGCCGCGGUAAUACAGAGGGUGCGAGCGUUAAUCGGAUUUACUGGGCGUAAAGCGUGCGUAGGCGGCUUUUUAAGUCGGAUGUGAAAUCCCUGAGCUUAACUUAGGAAUUGCAUUCGAUACUGGGAAGCUAGAGUAUGGGAGAGGAUGGUAGAAUUCCAGGUGUAGCGGUGAAAUGCGUAGAGAUCUGGAGGAAUACCGAUGGCGAAGGCAGCCAUCUGGCCUAAUACUGACGCUGAGGUACGAAAGCAUGGGGAGCAAACAGGAUUAGAUACCCGAGUAGUCCCUGUCUCUUAUAA